AUCCAGCUGAUGAGUCCCAGUAGGAACGAAAUAUACGUCCUGGAU
rnacentral:hammerhead_ribozyme from 1 species